CCAAUAGCGUAUAUUAAAGUUGUUGCAGUUAAAAAGCUCGUAGUUGAAUUUCGGGAUCAAUAUGCUGGUCGCGCCUUUGGUACGUACUGGUAUUAUUGGUUUCUCCUUUCUGAUGAAUCACGAUGUCAUUAAUUUGGUGUCAUGGGGAAUCAGGACUGUUACUUUGAAAAAAUUAGAGUGUUUAAAGCAGGCUUACGCUU
rnacentral:rRNA from 1 species